UACGUAGGGUGCAAGCGUUGUCCGGAAUUAUUGGGCGUAAAGAGCUCGUAGGCGGUCUGUCGCGUCGGCUGUGAAAACCCGGGGCUCAACCCCGGGCCUGCAGUCGAUACGGGCAGGCUAGAAUUCGGUAGGGGAGACUGGAAUUCCUGGUGUAGCGGUGAAAUGCGCAGAUAUCAGGAGGAACACCGGUGGCGAAGGCGGGUCUCUGGGCCGAUAUUGACGCUGAGGAGCGAAAGCGUGGGGAGCGAACAGG
rnacentral:rRNA from 1 species